rnacentral:rRNA from 1 species
CAGCCGCCGCGGGAAUACGUAGGGUGCAAGCGUUAAUCGGAAUUACUGGGCGUAAAGCGUGCGCAGGCGGUGUUGUAAGACUGAUGCGAAAUCCCCGGGCUCAACCUGGGAACUGCAUUGGUUACUGCAACGCUGGAGUGCGGCAGAGGGGGAUGGAAUUCCGCGUGUAGCAGUGAAAUGCGUAGAUAUGCGGAGGAACACCGAUGGCGAAGGCAAUCCCCUGGGCCUGUACUGACGCUCAUGCACGAAAGCGUGGGGAGCAAACAGGAUUAGAUACCCCCGUAGUCCCUGUCUCUUAUAC